rnacentral:rRNA from 1 species
CCUACGGGUGGCAGCAGUGAGGAAUAUUGGUCAAUGGACGAGAGUCUGAACCAGCCAAGUAGCGUGAAGGAUGACUGCCCUAUGGGUUGUAAACUUCUUUUAUAUGGGAAUAAAAUGUUCCACGUGUGGGAUUUUGUAUGUACCAUAUGAAUAAGGAUCGGCUAACUCCGUGCCAGCAGCAGCUGUAAUACGGAGGAUCCGAGCGUUAUCCGGAUUUCUGUGGUUUAAAGGGAGCGUAGGUGGAUUGUUAAGUCAGUUGGGAAAGUUUGCGGCUCAACCGUAAAAUUGCAGUUGAAACUGGCAGUCUUGAUGACAGUAGAGGUGGGAGGAAUUCGUGGUGUAGCGGUGAAAUGCUUAGAUAUCACGAAGAACUCCGAUUGCGAAGGCAGUUCACUGGACUGCAACUGACACUGAGGCUCGAAAGUGUGGGUAUCAAACAGGAGUAGAUACCCUUGUAGUC